AUUGAUUAUAGAUUAAUAGAAAUGAGAAAAGAAAUGUAUCUCAGCUAGCGUGUUAUCACAAGAUAUGCAACAGUGAUUUUCCUUUAGCAAAUUGUGCUGUGAACUCCCAUUUCAGGAGUCAUCGCUGAAAGUUUGUUUGAACAAACUCCUUCCUUGCAUGAUGAAUUUUUUGGGCAGUGUUAUCUUGGGUGAUAGCCUGACCUCUGUGGUUAUGAAUCUAAAGGUCCUGGAUCGUCCUACCAAUGGAGCAAUUAUUGCUAAGAAAUGUUUUGGGUUUGAUUUCAUCCUGAAUAGGAUAGGGGAUGAUAUAGAAAUUUUUAUGUCCACUCAGGCAGUUAGGCUACUAUCUCACUUGACCCCUUUUUUUUUGGUGAAAUAAUCUCACUUUACACCUUUGUUUCCUUAUUUCUUGAAUCCACUUCCUUCUCUUUUUUCAGAUUGUCUGCAUUAGUUUAUCAGAAGUAGCAUCUACACUGUAUGUGGGAAUUAUUCUGUCAUAUUGGUGCAGCAUUACCCGUGCCCAAAGAAAUGACAUACCGAGAAAAUUUAUAUACUUUAUAGCAAAAAAAAAAAAA
rnacentral:misc_RNA from 1 species